rnacentral:rRNA from 1 species
GACGAACGCUGACGGCGUGCUUAACACAUGCAAGUCGAACGGAAAGGCCCUGCUUUUGUGGGGUGCUCGAGUGGCGAACGGGUGAGUAACACGUGAGUAACCUGCCCUUGACUUUGGGAUAACUUCAGGAAACUGGGGCUAAUACCGGAUAGGAGCUCCUGCUGCAUGGUGGGGGUUGGAAAGUUUCGGCGGUUGGGGGUGGACUCGCGGCUUAUCAGCUUGUUGGUGGGGUAGUGGCUUACCAAGGCUUUGACGGGUAGCCGGCCUGAGAGGGUGACCGGCCACAUUGGGACUGAGAUACGGCCCAGACUCCUACGGGAGGCAGCAGUGGGGAAUAUUGCACAAUGGGCGGAAGCCUGAUGCAGCAACGCCGCGUGCGGGAUGACGGCCUUCGGGUUGUAAACCGCUUUCGCCUGUGACGAAGCGUGAGUGACGGUAAUGGGUAAAGAAGCACCGGCUAACUACGUG